UCUUCAAAGCCACCAUUGUUAUUCUCUCAAAGCUCUUAAUUUUUUUUUCUUUUCAACUUAUUCUUGAGAUUUAUUGUAUUGUGAAGAUUAAUUUGUUGAGUGCUACAAUUUGUAAAUCCACUCUCUUAGAGAGUUUUUCUCAUCUUGUUCUUCAUUUCUAAAUCUAUUGUAAAGGGUUACUCUUGAACCCAUAACAACAUUUUUGUAACGGUUUGAUCUUCAACCAUGAAAAGGAUCAGGUUUGUUCUUACGCCGGAGAAAAGAACAUUGUAGUAGUUCGACUCUAAGCCGUGAAAAGAGUCAAGUUUAUAGUGACAUACCCAAGAGGAGCUUGGAAAGUGGAUCUCGCGCCUACACGCCUAAACCCUUUCAUUUCUCUCUUACCCAAACCUUAUCCAUUUGUGGUCGUGCGAAUCAGGUUGUCCGUCGUCCAAGCUUGGCUGUGCAAAUUAGUUUGUCCGUCCUCCGUUCAUGGUUGUUCGUCCGUCUCUGUCACGCUUAGAUCUCUCUUUGGCCGUCAGUCUCAGUCGCCGUUCGCCCGUCAGUCUUCGUCAAUUUUCAUGGGUCUCUAUCAGUCUUUAACAACGCAUAUCUGUAGUCGUGGGACUCUGUCGUCCGUAGAUUUGUAGUCGUCCAUCCGUCCAGCUUUUCCAUCCAAAAUUUAGAGCUCCAGACGACAUCACACAUCUUGCGGAUUGGAAGGUGAAAAGGUUCAAGAAGAACAUUUUGAAGAGGGGUUAUGCCUGAGACUGCUACAAAGAAAGGAAAGGACUCCCUGUUGGCCCUAUUCUUCUUGGGUUCUUCAUUUUGUCGUCAUUAGAUCAUAUUUCAAGAAAGUUGACUUUUGUUCGAGGAAAUGAAAUCUGGAUUGAGAAUUGUAGUGUUGCUUAUUGAGGAUAGUAGUUUUUCCUUCUAUUAUAAAAUACAAUUUUGUUGUUUGAGGAGAUAAAUUUGUUUAGUUUCUUGUAUUUGUAAGUUUGUAAGUUUUGUUGUUUAUGGUUAUGCCUUCUAGGUAACAUCCAAGACGAACUUGCUCAAUGUGCACUAUUCUUUGUGAAAAGAGUUAACUUUUUCAGUAUACUAAAAAUAUUUCCAUAAUUUUCACAACUCAUCAAGAGAAGAAACACAGAAACAAAGAUUCAAUACUCAUCAUACUUCAUAACAACAUUAAGAAGUUUGACAAGUUUUUCCAGGCUAGAUAGGAAGAUUGCAUUGUACAUGUUUUAAGAAGGUUGACAACUGGAGCAGGUGCAUCCAACACAAAAAGGACUUCAUAACAACAUUAAUAACAAGUAUUUAUAAGAUGUUUAUCUUAAAAGUCUAUUUGUUCUAAAGUUUUGGAUUAGAUUUAGUAUUGGAAUGCUAUAACUAUUCUGCAGUUGUGGUAGUCAUAGCUUAGUUGUUUAUGACUUCCAAUGAGUGGUUUAUGGUAGUGGAACUUCUUAGGUAUCCUUUGAUAGUUUAUAUUUAUGCAUUAUUUGUCUAAAUGAAUCCGGUUGCACUAUGGUAGUUUUUGGGUUAUUCAUGCAUUGUGGGUUAGGUUAAUUCUUUAUUAUCAUUGUCGAAUCUUUUGUUAUCUCUUGUUUAACCAUUUAUUGUAGCACGUGUAGUUGAUGACUUUAAAUUCAGAUCAAAUUUGUCCACUGUCAUACAAUGGGGUUGUCUUUGUUGUUCUUGUUCAACAAUUUCCAUCUAAAUUUAUUGGGCUUGCAUUGCGCUCUUGUGUUCUAAUCUUGAAGUUCUGGAGAUCACUAAGUCUCAAUCAUCAAUAAAUCGCAUCGCAGGUGGUGAACUUCGUCAAUUUGUUUCCGAUAAACGUUGUCUUAAGAGUCUGAAGAUGGAAGGUUGUUCUAGUUUGGGGAGUUUUUCCCUCUGUUCAUCAAGUCUUGGCACACUUUGGCUUUCUGAUCUGCUCCCUCUCUAAGAUGGUUAUAUCUCUUGUCCUUUUAUCUAUUACAAUGACUACCUCUGAUGCAAAAAUAAGUUUGCUCAUUCAUUUACUAUUUUUAUAUAUAAGGUACAACCGUGAACUACUUUAUUGAUGACAAAAUUAAUAGAGCUGAGGUACUUUUCCCUGGUGUUGCUUACUUUUUUAUUGCGGUUGCUAAAAUGGUCGUCCCUACUGAGAAAUAUUUCUCUACUAUAGUUUCUUGCUAAGUCCACAAAAUUGUGUCGGUUAUUAAGAAUAAGUUGACAAAAGAGUAGAUGAGAAUGUUUAGGACAACGACCUUUGGUCCACUGUUAGACUUUAAUGGGCAACUUUUUCACCAUUUUCUUUUGAGGGAGGUAAUGGAUGCGAACCCAGAUGUUAUAUCAUUCAACAUAUUGGGGAAGAAGGUAACAUUCUCCCAAGACGAUUUUAAUUUGAUAACUGGGUUGUGGCUAACCAAGGAAAUAGUAGAAAGAGAAACGAGUGGUAAGAAACUGCAACAACUCAUUCUUGGAUCGAAUGACCCAAAUGAUAAGGAUAGUUCUUGCAAGGCAUGGAGAAUUCGUUCGAGCAUUUCAUUUUUACAAAUGAUAAAGAUGUCGUCAAGGUUACAUUGGCAUUAUUUAUCGAAACGGUGAUGAUUGGAAAAGAUAAGAAACCCCAAUUUGAUUUGAAGACAUUUGGGAUUGUCGAUGAACCUGAAGUCUUUAGAUAUUAUGAAUAGUCGUCCGUCUUUUCUAAACAUACAUUGAAUAGCAUGAAGAUUAUCAUGCAUUGGAAAAAUGAGGCACAUGAAACAAUGAAAGCAGAAAAUGCUCAUCAUGCCUCAUAUUACUAUAUAAAGGGAUUUGCACUUGCAUUCCAGGAUAACAAUAAAAGGACUCAUGAUGGUAAUAAUAAUGACGGUAAUAAUGAUGCUGCUAAUAAUGAAGAUGGUAGUAAUAAUAAUAAUGAAGGAACCCCCCAUGAUGAGCACUCCAAAUUUAUUAGUGAUCACUGCGUGGUUGUUGAACACAAAAUGAUGGAAGAAGCAACCGUCGAUGAAAAAACUGAACUCCCAUACGACUGCUCAAUCUUAGGAGCCACUUCGAUUUGGAUCCAACCAAGGUUAUGAAGAGUGCAACUCAACAUGAAGCCAUUGAAAUCAAGACGAUUGUGCUGCUGCAGCCAACUUGUUUGCUGGGCGAUAGAGAUUGCGUAGAGGUCUUCCGUUGCGUCUGAGUUCCAAAGCUUGAAGAGCGUCUUCAACUGGAUGGAAAAAUGGCAGGCUGGUUGGAUUAGGAAGCACACAUGAGGUUUUGGGCAGGCUCAUCUUAUUUUAUUGACUAGGUGCUUGGACAACACGAAGAAUAUAAACCAUCAUGGACAGAUGUUGACUUCACAUUUGUCCAAUCAACAUCAAAUAACACUGGCCCAUGCUUGCCAUCAAUCUAGAAAUGUGCACUAUCUAUGUAUUUGACUCCAUGCCUAACUAUAUCGAUAGUGACAUACUUGAUGGUUAUCUUCAGUUGGUGGCCAGAUUAAUACCGUCGAUGUUGAUUUUCGUCAGAUAUGACAAGUGACAUAGAAAAUUUACGUACGGGCCAUGGGAAGUGAAGUGAUCAAAGACAACACUCCAACAGAGCAAGUCUCUUGACUGUGACAUUUUUUGUUCUAAGUUUGUAGAAUAUAUUGUAACUGGUAUGGAUACGGAUAGCCUAGAUCAGAACAAUA